rnacentral:lncRNA from 10 species
GCAAGUUUGUGGCUGUAUUGCCACUUAGUGGCUCUUUGUGACUGGCAGUUCUGUAUAUCUGAAACAAAUAAGCUGUAAGCACUUUUGUUAAAACUUUGUCAAAUAAUCCUUUUAUGUACUUGUUCUCAGACCUGUUCUCUGGUUAUGAAAUGUGUUAAAGACAAGGUGCAAAUUUAAAACAAUGCCUGUAUUGAAAUAAAUGACUUAAACAGAUGCACUAUUUGAUUUGGUUUUUAUUCAUAUCCUCAAAUGAUUAUUUAUUUAUUUAUUUAUUUAUUUAUUUAUUGAGAUGGAGUCUUGCUCUAUUGCCCAGGCUGGAGUGCAGUGGCAUGAUCUUG